rnacentral:misc_RNA from 1 species
UUUCCGUAGGUGAACCUGCGGAAGGAUCAUUAAUGAGUUGUCAUGGGGUUCGAUGCUGGCAGCCAGUUUUUGGAUGCAUGUGCUUGCCCUAACAAUCAUCUUCUUCCAAACACCUGUGCACAUUUUUGAGGGAGUCUUGAGUUGGUUGCCGCUCUUGGGUGAUUUUCUCACAUUCCCUUAAAUCAUUAUUCGCUAUUAACAAUGUUGAACGUGCUCUGUGCCGCAAGGCCAUUAAUAUAAUACAACUUUUAACAACGGAUCUCUUGGCUCUC